ensembl:lncRNA
GGGAUGAAGUUUGGAAUAUCUGGACAUGGACCGGUCUUCUUGUGGUUUGUGGUUUGUGGUUUGGGUCUGCAGUCAUCCUGGACUGUCUUAAAAAACACAGUUCCACUGAGUUUAUUUUAAAGAUCUUAUUGGCUUCAUUCAACAAUUUUCGGGUAGUAGUCAAUGUAGCAGAUAGAAAGGACUCCAAGGAGCUGUACAAAAUGAAAGACUUUUAUGGGCAAAAGAGAGCAAGACAUGAAUGUUCUGCUAGACAAAAGAAAAGCAGGUUGGGCUACGACAAGGUCACUUUUCUUUAAGGGAUGGCAGGGAUGUCUCAGCCAGGUGACCUAACUAGUCCUGAUCAGACGAUUCCUGAUUAAUUUGUGGCUCCAUUUCUGGGAGAGCAGAAACGAAUGGAGGUGAGUCUCGGUGUGGUGAUGUGGACUUAGCAGAAGCAGCUCCAUGCUGGGCCGUCUGCCUUGUUUUAACAACUACAGCAACAGUCCACUCAGCUUGACCAUCCCUCUCUUCCUCCUGCAAUAGCCCAACACAGAUGGGGCUGAUCAAGUUUAUCACUUAAUAAUCUUGAGGGCAGGGCUUUGGCCAAGGACAGGUCAUAGGACCCACACAGCCAAGCAGAAUUCACUUUUGAGGGGGUCUCUAUUCCAGGUGCUGGAUGAGAAAGGCUCCUUUUUUUCCCCCAAGGGUGCUGAGCUGGGACUUGUCCCAUGGAGUGGAGGGCGACACCGGGACCGCGGGCUAUGCAGAGACCAGCAGAGCUUCCGGAGCAGACAGAGACGAGGGUCAGGUUGUUCCUAUCCUUCCUGAUUCUCUGAGCUGCCCCAGACUGCUUUCCAAAUGGUGGGAUGGCACAGGAAAUUAUUCACCACCAGUUUGCCUUCUCCCCGAGCCAAAGACAUAUUGGGAGUGACCUAGAGCAUGGACUCGGGCUGCCAAUGGAUGAAGCAAUGAAGUGAAAAUCACCAUCUGUUAAGUGGAAAUGAGAGCCGCUGAGAGGAACCUGGAGGAAGCGGCUUGUCUCAAAGCAGAACCCCGAGACGGGUGUCCGCACAAACCGUGGCG